GGGCCCGCACAAGCGGUGGAGUAUGUGGUUUAAUUCGAUGAUACGCGAGGAACCUUACCAGGGCUUAAAUGGAAAAUGACAGGGGCAGAGACGCCCCCUUCUUCGGACAUUUUUCAAGGUGCUGCAUGGUUGUCGUCAGCUCGUGCCGUGAGGUGUCAGGUUAAGUCCUAUAACGAGCGCAACCCCCUACCGUUAGUUGCCAGCGAGUAAUGUCGGGGACUCUAACGGAACUGCCGGUGCAAACCGUGAGGAAGGUGGGGACGACGUCAAAUCAUCACGGCCCUUACGUCCUGGGCCACACACGUGCUACAAUGCUACGGACAAAGGGCAGCAAGUUCGCGAGGACAAGCAAAUCCAUAAACCGUGGCUC
rnacentral:rRNA from 1 species